UGGAGUUAGCCUAUACACCACAGUGUGUGAGAGAGAAAGCCAUUGAUGGGAUGUUCUUGGAGUUAGCCUAUACACCACAGUGUGUGAGAGAGAAAGCCAUUGAUGGGAUGUUCUUGGAGUUAGCCUAUACACCACAGUGUGUGAGAGAGAAAGCCAUUGAUGGGAUGUUCUUGGAGUUAGCCUAUACACCACAGUGUGUGAGAGAGAAAGCCAUUGAUGGGAUGUUCUUGGAGUUAGCCUAUACACCACAGUGUGUGAGAGAGAAAGCCAUUGAUGGGAUGUUCUUGGAGUUAGCCUAUAGGCUACUUAAAAUAGCUGAAUCUCCUUGGUGCCUGAGCAGCGAGAGGGAGGAGAGGGAGAGAGGGAGUGUGCGACAUCACAGUGAUCCACAUUGACAGUGACAUCACUACUCAACUAACGGGUGGGACUUCGCAGGCUUUCUCAUUCCAGCAGUGUGCUGUGGAUAUUGAAUCACUACCUAACUGUCAAGAAAAUGUGCCUGGUACUUGGUGGCAACUGCCUUGUCAAACAAUAAAAAUGCACUUUUGUGCCUUUAACUUUAUUCCUGAGACUGAAACAGAAUCCGUUGCAGAGUCUGCUCGACGUUGGAUCUGUGUAUAUGUUGAUUCCGGAUGGUGCGAUCUGCUGAAUGUAGCGGGAACAGGGGCCACUUGUUGGGGCUAACACAAGAGACAGCAGAGUAUGAAGCCCACAGUGGACCGUGGACUAGGAUGUGCCAGUAAACCUCUGAGUCGGGCUUGAGUGGAACUUGGAGGAUUUGUAUUCAUAGAACUUGAAAUUUAGUGUGAACCAGGACGCUGACCAUGGAGACAGAGCUGAGCACUGGUCUCUCUGCAUGGACCAUCAUGGCCAUUGUGUGUAACUCUGUAGUGGGCAUCCUCACCCUUAUCCUCUUCGUCAUCCUCUACAAGGCCUGCAAGGUGCCCUCUUGCCAAGAGAGGUCAGCAGUGCUGACAGUAGCCCGGGAGCAGAAAUGAGGGGCGAGCAGAAAUGCUUACUGACUACAGCCUGAUGAUGUAUGCACAGAGGAAAAACACUUCUUGGCCAAACAGACUGCCACUGACUGUUAACUAACACAAUGAGUGAACACUAAAAAACCAAUGUUUCGGGGUCCUUAUCUGUCAAGUCAUUCUCUCCAUCGAUCUCUCUAUCACCCCCCUCUCCACACCUCUUUCUUUCUGCCUCUCUUUGUCUCUCCCUACCACAUUACGUAAACAAAAACACCAGCAUAAAUCCUCUUAUCUCCUUGGCUCUGCUCUGGGACUGUCCAUCUGUCAGUCUGUUUAUACUCAGCAGUCUGGCCUCCCCCUGCUCAUCUGCACUAAACCACAAUCUGGGGAAUGAGGAAAAGGGUAAAUGAGAAAGGAAAUGAGGAGAGAGAGAGGGAGUGAUAGAGGGAAAGAGAACAGCCCUCAUCUCAUCAGAGACAACUUGAUGUUGACUAACUGGAGAAAUAAUGAUGCCAGGGAUAGUGAAAUAGACCACAAGAGAGACAGAGCAGAGAGGGAGAUAGAGAGAUAGAUGAUGCCAGAGAUAGUGAAAUAGACCACAAGAGAGACAGAGCAGAGAGGGAGAUAGAGAGAUAGAUGAUGCCAGGGAUAGUGAAAUAGACCACAAGAGAGACAGAGCAGAGAGGGAGAAAAGGAUGUUUUGAUGAGGUGUUGUUUACUAAAAGAACGCUCAAGGCAAACUGUGACUUCGAAGUCUCCAGCACCCACAGAUCAACUCUCAAGGGUUUAUGAAAAACAACGACUGAGGGAAAUGAAAGGAAAACUCUCAUAUGUCUGUCUGCCACUGAAUGGGCUCCUAUAAAACACAAAAGUAUUGUUAUUUAUAGACAAGCUUCCAAAGGAGUGACACUCAAAGAGAUAAUGAGACUCAAUGUGACUAUUUUAAAAAGUCUCCUGUAGCUAACGGUGGUGUAACGCAGAAAAUCAAAAUGACUUCCUGAAACAGAUGGAUCUACCAUGUACUGUGCCAUGUCAUUCAGCAUUCCAUACAUGUAAUUAUGACGGUGAUGCUGUUCUGUAAGAAUCAUGGACAUGGACAUUUUCAUUGUAUUUUUUAUUAACUCAAUAAAAUGUUUUACCUA